GCGGGUGUAGCUCAAUGGUAGAGCCCCAGCCUUCCAAGCUGGUUGUGAGGGUUCAAGUCCCUUCUCCCGCU